GCGAGCCUCGCCCGCCAGCGCCGUCUGCCGCUCUCGCCUCGCCCGCCAAGCGCCGCCUCGCCUCCCCGUGCGACCGAAACCUACCCCAUCUGCCCACCCGCGAUCGAAACCUGUUGGCUGACGCUAGAGAUCCCAAUCGUCGAUUGUGAACCGUGGCUCUCGCUGCCGCCGCCGCCAUCGCGUGUGUCCUGAGGCCAUGCGACCCGCUGCAGGGGGCCCUUCGCUGGUCGUGGUCGCGACCAAGAUGGUGGAGGCCCGCUAUGCCCCACAAUGGCGACUGUAGCAGGCUAGGUGCUCUCCUACUCGGGAGGUUUGGGAGGGAUUCACGCACGACAUGGACGACCUCACCAGCGGCUUCCUCCAUUGUUGCGGACCAAGGACUAUGACAGUUGUAGCCGGUCGGGUGCUCUCCUACUCGGGAUGUAUGGGAGGGAUUCACGCGCGGCAUGGACGACCUCGCCAGCGGCCUCCUCCAUUGCUGCGGACCAAGACUUCAACGUGCCUUGGCCAGUCAAGUCUCAGACUGCAAUGACAUUUGCCAGAAGGUAAGGAUUCUUUUGUCCCCCCCCUCCCCCUCUCCCCCCAGUUUUCUCUUGAGCACGAAGCCAUGAACUCUUGUUAGCAAUUCAGAAAUAGGGAAUAUAUAUGUGACUAAUUUCGCAAUUUAGAACCCAUUGUGGCACACUAAGAAUCAGAAUUUAUCUACCAAGUCCGUCUUGGUAAGCAAAAGCGAAAACUGAGUAAUUUUGCUUAUUUGACAAAUCAAUAUAUGCUUUGACAUAGCAGUUAACAACUAAUUUUACCUUGCACUAUAGCACUAAGCUAAUACAACUGUUUAUGCUCUUCUAUGUGUGUUCUGUUAAAUAUGAUAAAUGCAUACACACAUUUGGACGAAAAUACUGCUUGCAUGAACCACACAGUUUCUUGGAAACCUAUGCUUUGUAAUUAUGAAAUUCAAACAAAAGUGGGGUAUUAUCCCGUGGAGUGCUACUAAUCACAAUGACAAGAUCCUUUGUUAAAUCACAGUCCAUUGUAUCUAAUGUUGAGCUUAGGCGGUUGGACGAUGGUGUGCAUGACAUUGUGAUAAGCGUGAGCUACUAGGAUCAAUGGACAGGGCAGAUGAAGGAGCAUGUGGACUGAGCACAAAUAAGCAAAAUAAUUUUCCUCUUGCUAUUGGACAUUGUGGACAAGUAGAAAAAAAUGACCCACCACUCUAUCCAAGUUCCAAACUCAAAAUGUUGGCUAUCAUUUUUACAUUUUGGUUCACUCUUGAGGACCAAGAGGGUGUUGAUGUCAUUAUGAAUGUGGGAGGAGAAAUGUUUCAUGCCCACGAUAUGGUUUGGUUGCUUGGUCUCAUGUAUUAAGAUCUCAACUUUUUAAUAUUUGCAAAGUCUCAAUGAUGGUUGCCAAUAGUAUCUUUUAUAUUCUUUCUUUCAAAGGAGAUCCACCUCUAAUCAUAUAUAUAAUAUCUUUAAUCUUUAUUUGGUGCUGCCGAGGAGGACUCGCCGCAUGGGAGGUGCAGGAAGGAGGAAGGAAUGGGUAGGAGAGCAAGGUUCUAGACAAGGGGAAGACACUAACAAGGGCAAGAAAGAGUGAGUAGCAUGACCUGAAAUCUUGUGGUAUUUCCUUUCUUUUUCAACUUCUUGAUAGAUGUUUCCACUAAUCAUCAAUUUACUUAUGGCAAACAUGGCAAUAUUGUGAUAGCAUUUACCAUUUGAAGAAUGCCUUUUAUUUUUCUUCUUUGAAAAAAUGAAAUUAGUGGAUAGUAGUCACUAAUGCUUUGCUGCAAAUAAGCUUCCAGUUAUGAUCGGCCAUACCUUUUCUUUUAAAACGUUGAUACUAAUAUGUGGAAAAGUACGAGUUUCUUUUGAAUACAAGGUGCAUAUGAUUUUGUUGAUUGGAUCCCUCAACCAUCAUCGACAUAGCAGAUCAUUCUCCUACUGCCUAUAAGGUGCUCGAGAACUAGCGUCACCUUUGACACAUUUGCCUUUGUCAAGCAUAAAACUACGGACAGUGCAUUAUCAUUGGUUAUUGUCGGAUCUUGUAAAUAGUUAGCACAAAAAAUCAAACAAUGACAGAAACAGCCCAGCUAGCCUCACAUCAGUUCUUUAAAAUAUUAAUUUUUUUCUGCAAGAGUAGUUUAUUUAUUUCUAUAAUAGUGCAUGAGUAUCAUGGUUUCUCCAUUGAUUCUGGCUACUUUUUAGGUCUAGCAAUAGUUAAACGUCUAUUUGAUUGAGUUAUCAUAGCUCUAAGCUAUUAAUGACAUUGUUUUUACAUUACUGAAUUUUUCAGCUAAUGAGAUUGUGCACUAAAUCUGAAGGAUGCCUGAUAAUUUAUUGAUUUGGUUACUACAUGCAGUAAAAUUGGGAACCUUUAAUAGGUGUGUCCAUGGCAGUGACACAGGUAAGUGAGAUGGUUGGGAUGGAGUGAGGUACGGUCUCAGAUAACAGGGGUGAUCAUGUUUUAUUAUGGCUGAAAACAAGACACAGUUUUGGGAUGAGAAACGGUCGCGGGAUUGUCGGUGUCAGAUGCUUAGCAUGUUGAUUAUUCGAUUAUUAUAAUGUGAAUGUCGUAGCAAAUGAUCAUUUUUAUCAUCAGCCUAUUGAACUUUUUUACCAAUAACAAUUUAGAUACCUUUUGUGAUUUUUCAUGAUUCAGCUAUUAAUGUACGAUGACGGGAACUACUGGCGAUAUAUAGACAACCAUAAUUUUUUUGAAAUAGAGAGUUGUGUUUAAAGAUAAAUUUCAAUUAUGUGUUUCAGUGUUAAUUUCUUGGUGUUUCAUUGACACCGAUAUAA